rnacentral:rRNA from 1 species
GUCUUCUUGGUUGUUUAAGAAGUCUGACCUGCCCGGUGAAUAAUUUUAACGGCCGCGGUAUCUUGACCGUGCAAAGGUAGCAUAAUCAUUAGUCUUUUAAUAGGGGGCUGGAAUGAAGGGUUUAACGAAACAUUAACUGUCUCAUUUAUAUAAUUUAAAAUUUAAUUUUUAAGUUAAAAAGCUUAAAUUUUGCUGAUGGACGAGAAGACCCUAUAGAGUUUUAUAUUAAAAGCCCUUAUAAAAAAUUUGUUUUAUAUUUUUAAAUUGGUGCUUUUAUUAUUUUGUUGGGGUGACAAAAAUAUAUGAUAAACUUUUUUAUUUUAUAAACAUAAAUUUAUGAUUAUUUGAUCCAAUAUUAUUGAUUAUUAGAUUAAAUUACCUUAGGGAUAACAGCGUAAUCUUUUUUUGGAGUUCAAAUUUACAAAAAGGCUUGCGACCUCGAUGUUGGAUUAAGAUUAUAAUUUGGUGCAGUAGCUAAAUUAAUGGGUCUGUUCGACCCUUAAAUUCUUACAUGAUCUGAGUUCAGACCGG